GGAUGCGAUCAUACCAGCACUAAAGCACCGGAUCCCAUCAGAACUCCGAAGUUAAGCGUGCUUGGGCGAGAGUAGUACUAGGAGUUGCAUUCC
rnacentral:rRNA from 1 species